rnacentral:tRNA from 2 species
GCCCACAUAGCUCAGUUGGUAGAGCACUUCCAUGGUAAGGAAGAGGUCUUCCGUUCAAUCCGGAAUGUGGGCACCA